GUCUUCCUGUUCAAGCACUCUGCUAAAACUGUAAGAUCUAAGCCUGCUGGCCUGGAUCUUGUGGUGAUGCUAGUAGGAGUACACCCAGGAAGGAGAACAAAUGCACAGCAUCGCAGUGAGACUGGGGCGGACCUCUUUCUUAAUGUCCAGUGUCUUUUGUCUUAAGAUUCUGUGCAACAUUG